GAUGAACGCUGGCGGCAGGCUUAACACAUGCAAGUCGAGCGGGGGAAGGUAGCUUGCUACCGGACCUAGCGGCGGACGGGUGAGUAAUGCUUAGGAAUCUGCCUAUUAGUGGGGGACAACAUCUCGAAAGGGAUGCUAAUACCGCAUACGUCCUACGGGAGAAAGCAGGGGAUCUUCGGACCUUGCGCUAAUAGAUGAGCCUAAGUCGGAUUAGCUAGUUGGUGGGGUAAAGGCCUACCAAGGCGACGAUCUGUAGCGGGUCUGAGAGGAUGAUCCGCCACACUGGGACUGAGACACGGCCCAGACUCCUACGGGAGGCAGCAGUGGGGAAUAUUGGACAAUGGGGGGAACCCUGAUCCAGCCAUGCCGCGUGUGUGAAGAAGGCCUUAUGGUUGUAAAGCACUUUAAGCGAGGAGGAGGCUACUUUAGUUAAUACCUAGAGAUAGUGGACGUUACUCGCAGAAUAAGCACCGGCUAACUCUGUGCCAGCCGCCGCGGUAA
rnacentral:rRNA from 1 species